rnacentral:rRNA from 1 species
UAGGGAAUCUUCGGCAAUGGACGGAAGUCUGACCGAGCAACGCCGCGUGAGUGAAGAAGGCUUUCGGAUCGUAAAGCUCUGUUGUUAGAGAAGAACGUUGGUAGGAGCGGAACAUCUACCAAGUGACGGUAACUACCCAGAAAGUGACGGCUAACUACGUGCCAGCAGCCGCGGUAAUACGUAGGUCCCGAGCGUUGUCCGGAUUUAUUGGGCGUAAAGCGAGCCCAGGCGGUUCGUUAAGUCUGAAGUUAAAGGCAGUGGCUUAACCAUUGUACGCUUUGGAAACUGGAGGACUUGAGUGCAGGAGGGGAGAGUGGAAUUCCAUGUGUAGCGGUGAAAUGCGUAGAUAUAUGGAGGAACACCGGUGGCGAAAGCGGCUCUCUGGUCUGUAACUGACGCUGAGGCUCGAAAGCGUGGGGAGCAAACAGG